rnacentral:rRNA from 1 species
CAUAGCCGCGGGAAUACGUAGGUGGCAAGCGUUGUCCGGAAUUAUUGGGCGUAAAGGGCUCGCAGGCGGUUUCUUAAGUCUGAUGUGAAAGCCCCCGGCUCAACCGGGGAGGGUCAUUGGAAACUGGGAAACUUGAGUGCAGAAGAGGAGAGUGGAGUUCCACGUGUAGCGGUGAAAUGCGUAGAGAUGCGGAGGAACACCAGUGGCGAAGGCGACUCUCUGGUCUGUAACUGACGCUGAGGAGCGAAAGCGUGGGGAGCGAACAGGAUUAGAUACCCCCGUAGUCCCUGUCUCUUAUACA